rnacentral:rRNA from 1 species
GACGAACGCUGGCGGCGUGCUUAACACAUGCAAGUCGAGCGAAAGGAUUCCCUUCGGGGAUGAAUUUAGCGGCGGACGGGUGAGUAACACGUGGGCAACCUGCCUUAUAGAGGGGGAUAGCCUUCCGAAAGGAAGAUUAAUACCGCAUAACAUCAGAUUAUCGCAUGGUAGACUGAUCAAAGGAGCAAUCUGCUAUAAGAUGGGCCCGCGUCGCAUUAGCUAGUUGGUGAGGUAACGGCUCACCAAGGCGACGAUGCGUAGCCGACCUGAGAGGGGGAUCGGCCACAUUGGGACUGAGACACGGCCCAGACUCCUACGGGAGGCAGCAGUGGGGAAUAUUGCACAAUGGGGGAAACCCUGAUGCAGCAACGCCGCGUGAGUGAUGAAGGCCUUCGGGUUGUAAAGCUCUGUCUAUGGGGACGAUAAUGACGGUACCCAAGGAGGAAGCCACGGCUAACUACGUGCCAGCCGCCGCCGUAAGAC